CUACGAAAGGUGCAAGCGUUGUUCGGAUUUACUGGGCGUAAAGAGAGUGUAGGUGGUUUAUUAAGUCGGAUGUGAAAUCCCGGGGCUCAACCUCGGAACUGCAUUCGAUACUGAUAGGCUAGAGUUUGGGAGGGGUAAGCGGAAUUCCGUGUGUAGCAGUGAAAUGCGUAGAUAUAAGGAGGAACACCUGAGGCGAAGGCGGCUUACUGGACCAAUACUGACACUGAGACUCGAAAGAGUGGGUAGCAAACAGGAUUAGAAACCCGAGUAGUCC
rnacentral:rRNA from 1 species